ACAAACCCACAAACAACAACAGAUCACAUCCAAACCCUAAUCCUUCCAAAUUCAUAGAGCUCUAUACCACCCCUCCACCGAUCACGAUGUUGAAAAUACUCCACCACACAAAGAUCAAAACUUUGCAUGCACACAGAAUUCAAUCAACCAAAAUUGUGGAGAAAUCGAGAGAGGAAAGUGCAAUAAAGUCACUGGAAGAGAGAAGAUUCAGACCCAAAAAGAAUUUUUUUUCUCCUAGAACGAGAAUUUAGGGGAUUUUUUU
rnacentral:lncRNA from 1 species